rnacentral:tRNA from 1 species
GAAAUAUGUUGAUCAAGAAAAAGCUUCUAACUUUAAUCUUUUAUGGUUUAAUCCCAUAUAUAUUUCU